rnacentral:rRNA from 1 species
GCAUAUCAAUAAGCGGAGGAAAAGAAACUAACAAGGAUUCCCCUAGUAACUGCGAGUGAAGCGGGAAAAGCUCAAAUUUUGAAUCUGGCGGUCUUUGCAGGCCGUCCGAGUUGUAAUCUAGAGAAGCGUCUUCCGCGCCGGCCUGUGUACAAGUCUCCUGGAAGGGAGCGUCAUAGAGGGUGAGAAUCCCGUCUCUGACACGGACCACCGGUGCCUAUGUGAUGCGCUCUCGACGAGUCGAGUUGUUUGGGAAUGCAGCUC